rnacentral:tmRNA from 1 species
GCCCUUUAUUUCUCCGCCACGCCCUCCUAUAUUAGGCGUGCUGGCAACGGCUAUGGCGAUAAACUGUCAUCGUAAUAAACCCAUCGGACCCGGGGGCAGUACCCGGCGCCUCCACCAAAACCCUCUUUUUCCAGAGGACCUUAUGGGGGCGAAACAGGAUCGACGAGGGCGUAAAGGGUGAGCUUUCGCUCGGCAUUGUACCACCGUUAUCGGGCUAACCUUAUAGUUGCAAACGACAACUAUGCUGAGGCACGUCUCGCUGCGUAAGCAGUGCGAUACCUCGAACUAAAGCCCUGAUUCUGUAGCAGGGAUCAGGCGGGGUCCGCAGGCACCUGGCAACAGAAGCCUGCAUC